UAGCCUCUACCCUGGAAGCACUAAAUGUUUAGUUCGUAGAACGCGGAAACUGUCACAGGGAUGCAAAUUUUGACAGAAUCAAGAUUCUAGAUGAUUUCGAUGAGCAAGAUUUGGAACCAAAAUUAAAUACAGGCCAAUGAUUAUGUCUAACAUUUUACAACCAAUGAACAAUGCUCAUUGAUUCUGACAUGGUAGAAGACAGAUUGUCCCAACAUGCAGAGGCUCAAUGCCAUGAGCGAAGGAAACGAGAGUCUGUCGAGUAUAAGUCAUAACAAUAGAGCAUGGACUGAUGUGUGUUUUGGAAGUCAUGUAUACAAGAGCUGGGAGCCGGACUGCUUUGGGGAGUUUUCCUUCUCCACAUGGCAACCAUGGGCAAGCCUCUUCAUGACCCUCUAAGACUGGUUUGGACUCACUGGUCUGAACAUAAAUAACAUCUGUAGCUGGCUUGAAUGUUUGGCUCAGAUAGACCAGUCUACAUUAGGAGAUGACUCAAGCCGUGUCACAUAAACCUGAGAGCCUCAGAUUCCUGACUCAGAAUCUCACCAUCUGGUCAAAAACAGACAUGGAGGUGAUAAAAAAUUGAUUCUAUAUCCUUAAGGCCACCAAGGUACAAAAAAGUGGGCAAAUGGACACUUUAAGGGGAAAGAAAAAGUCUUUUCUAUUUUCUGGUCUUUCUAUUUUCUGGAAAGGGCUUUGUGAGAGAUAUUUGUAAAAGUUUUACUUUUUUGUUCCUAAGUGAAGCUCCCUGGGGAUUUCAAGCAGCGGGAAGCUCAGUGGAAAACUUGCAAUUAACCAAUUAAUAUGAUGGAAUGCAAGGUAAAAACUCCUACAGUGGGCCAAGAAAAAGAUCGCCCUGGCCCUGAAUGGAGAGAACUGGCUGUUUAUACCUAGCAGGUUAGCAGUGUGAAUGCCAAGUUCUGCCUUCGAUCAUGCUGUGUGGGAAGGUGCACAGGUCUGCUCCAUCCAGGAAGAGGAUUUUAAUGAUGUGUGUUUUAUAAUGAACGGCCACAUGCUGCCUCGGAAACUCUGCUAAGUCAAGUCUGCUGGGAACAGUUCUCGAUUCUCCCUUUUGAGUUUGGAACACUUGGGCCAUAUGUGUAUAUAUAACUUUAUAAAAUAGAUUUUAUUUAUUUACAUCCCUUCUUGUCACAACCUUCCAAUAUCUGGAUCCCUUUAGAUGAAAAACUUCUGCUGUGCUAUAUUCUGUUAGUGAACCGGGGAGUCCAUCACUUGGAUUGCUUCUCUUGAUGAUUUGACAGAAUAGCUGACAAAAGUGGCUUCAUUAAGUUGGGGCUUAUCUCGGAUCACUGCUCCAAGGAGAUGCAAUGGCAAGUUUAUAUACCAAACCUGACUUGGCUACAGGAUACUCAGGUGUUUGUGGACACCUUUUGUAUGUUUUCGAGUGAAUAAGUGAAUCAAGUAAAGCAGACGGUUCUCCCCAGUGGAGCGCAUCCAAUUCUUGGGAGGUCUAAGUGUGGCCAAGGAGACACAGAAUCCAGAAUGGGAGACACCUUUGGGCUUUUGUGUGUCUUUGGCCAAAAGACCUUACAGACCAACUAUGUGAAAAAGGCAUUCAUCAUUGCUGUUCUACUUCAAAUGCCUUUUUAGAGAAAAGUCUUUCCUGAUUCCUUAGAAAUCCUUGGAAAACUCAAGUUACCACAGAGCCUUCUGAUUUGACUGCACUGGAUGACCAGAAGCCCCAGGGAUUCCCCUGUCUCUGUCUCCCAUUUCUGAG